rnacentral:rRNA from 1 species
UACGAAGGGGGCUAGCGUUGUUCGGAAUUACUGGGCGUAAAGCGCACGUAGGCGGAUCGAUCAGUCAGGGGUGAAAUCCCAGAGCUCAACUCUGGAACUGCCUUUGAUACUGUCGAUCUAGAGUAUGGAAGAGGUGAGUGGAAUUCCGAGUGUAGAGGUGAAAUUCGUAGAUAUUCGGAGGAACACCAGUGGCGAAGGCGGCUCACUGGUCCAUUACUGACGCUGAGGUGCGAAAGCGUGGGUAUCGAAUGGG